GAUGAACGCUGGCGGCGUGCUUAACACAUGCAAGUCGAACGGUAAGGCCCAAGCUUGCUUGGGUACUCGAGUGGCGAACGGGUGAGUAACACGUGGGUGAUCUGCCCUGCACUUCGGGAUAAGCCUGGGAAACUGGGUCUAAUACCGGAUAGGACCACUUCUUGGAUGUUGUGGUGGAAAGUUUUUUCGGUGUGGGAUGAGCUCGCGGCCUAUCAGCUUGUUGGUGGGGUAAUGGCCUACCAAGGCGUCGACGGGUAGCCGGCCUGAGAGGGUGUACGGCCACAUUGGGACUGAGAUACGGCCCAGACUCCUACGGGAGGCAGCAGUGGGGAAUAUUGCACAAUGGGCGCAAGCCUGAUGCAGCGACGCCGCGUGGGGGAUGACGGCCUUCGGGUUGUAAACUCCUUUCGCUAGGGACGAAGCGUUUUUGUGACGGUACCUGGAGAAGAAGCACCGGCUAACUACGUG
rnacentral:rRNA from 1 species